rnacentral:rRNA from 1 species
CGGCGGACGGGUGAGUAACACGUGGGUAACCUACCUAUAAGACUGGGACAACUUCGGGAAACCGGAGCUAAUACCGGAUAAGAUAUCGAACCGCAUGGUUCGNAUAGUGAAAGAUGGUUUUGCUAUCACUUAUAGAUGGACCCGCGCCGUAUUAGCUAGUUGGUGAGGUAACGGCUCACCAAGGCAACGAUACGUAGCCGACCUGAGAGGGUGAUCGGCCACACUGGAACUGAGACACGGUCCAGACUCCUACGGGAGGCAGCAGGA